rnacentral:rRNA from 1 species
AUCAGGUAGGGAUACCCGCUGAACUUAAGCAUAUCAAUAAGCGGAGGAAAAGAAACCAACAGGGAUUGCCCUAGUAACGGCGAGUGAAGCGGCAACAGCUCAAAUUUGAAAUCUGGCUCCUUUGGGGUCCGAGUUGUAAUUUGCAGAGGGUGCUUUGGCAUCGGCGGCGGUCUAAGUUCCUUGGAACAGGACAUCGCAGAGGGUGAGAAUCCCGUACGUGGGCGCCUGCCUUUGCCGUGUAAAGCCCCUUCGACGAGUCGAGUUGUUUGGGAAUGCAGCUCUAAAUGGGAGGUAAAUUUCUUCUAAAGCUAAAUACCGGCCAGAGACCGAUAGCGCACAAGUAGAGUGAUCGAAAGAUGAAAAGUACUUUGGAAAGAGAGUCAAAUAGCACGUGAAAUUGUUGAAAGGGAAGCGCUUGCAGCCAGACUUGCCCGCAGUUGCUCACCCAGGCUCCGGCCUGGGGCACUCUUCUGCGGGCAGGCCAGCAUCAGUUUGGGCGGUUGGAUAAAGGCCUCUGUCACGUAUCUCCCUUCGGGGUGACCUUAUAGGGGAGGCGCAAUGCAACCAGCCCGGA